GGAGCCAGCCAAGUAUGGACUGAAACCUCCACAAAAUGUCGUCCUUUGAAAUCUGAGUGGAAGCCUUCCUGAACUACCUCACACCUCUUGCAUUGUGCAUGCCAGUAAAACUAACAUCAUUCAGACAAUGCUAAGGUCUGCUGUCAGUGGGAGCACCAGUCAGCCUCCCUUGGACCACAGAACUAGAAGACUUCGAGGAAAAUGGUGGAAUGGUAAACAGCAACAAAUCAGGCUCUGCAAGAUUUGGAAUCCAAAGAAGUAAAGAAAAUCAUGUUUAAAGAACUGAGGAAGGGUGAAGUUCUUAUUAUCUCCACUCUACAAAUGGGAAAACUGAGGCCCUGUGGAGCAAAACGACUUGUCCAAGACCACAGAGCAACCUACAAAGAAACUUCAUUUCACCUUCUCAUCAAAACAAUCCUGGGAGGCUGGCAAAACUGCAAUAAACAGCUUUACUGUUGAGAGGAAGAACCCAGAGCUCUGAGGAAGUGAUGUGCCCAAAGUCAUAGCCUUCCAAGGUCACACGGAUGAUGUGUUCAGGGUCAGGUCUUCAGCAGUUUAUUGGUUUGGGCUGCUCCUCUAUGCUUGGUAUCAUCAUAGGACGGUUUGCUGCCCUGUCAUUAAGCAAUUACUCAGAUUCUGUUUCACUUGAAAUUAAGUUGUGUACCCCACACUGCACCUUUAUCUGGAAGAGUGUGCAUUGAGGUCAUCCCAGUUCCUAGGCCAUGCCGUCAUCCAACACUGUCCUGCUUUCACAGAUGGAGAUUUGUCCCAAAUAUGGCUACACCUGCUGAGGACCAGCUUAUUAUCUUCUUAAAUAUUAUUUAUGAUAAGGUAUAAACACUUUGGUAUUUUG